rnacentral:rRNA from 1 species
UACGUAGGGUGCGAGCGUUGCCCGGAUUUAUUGGGCGUAAAGGGCGCGUAGGCGGCCACGCACGUCCGUUGUGAAAUCGCCCGGCUCAACUGGGCGGGGUCAGCGGAUACGGCGCGGCUGGAGCAAGCUAGGGGGCAAUGGAAUUCCCGGUGUAGUGGUGGAAUGCGUAGAUAUCGGGAGGAACACCAGUGGCGAAGGCGGUUGCCUGGAGCUUUGCUGACGCUGAUGCACGAAAGCGUGGGUAGCAAACAGG